rnacentral:rRNA from 1 species
AUCAAAUGGAGAGUUUGAUCCUGGCUCAGGAUGAACGCUGGCGGCAUGCCUAAUACAUGCAAGUCGAACGAAGUUU